AGAGUUUGAUCAUGGCUCAGAUUGAACGCUGGCGGCAGGCCUAACACAUGCAAGUCGAACGGUAACAGGAAAAAGCUUGCUUCUUUGCUGACGAGUGGCGGACGGGGGAGUAAUGUCUGGGAAACUGCCUGAUGGAGGGGGAUAACUACUGGAAACGGUAGCUAAUACCGCAUAACGUCGCAAGACCAAAGAGGGGGACCUUCGGGCCUCUUGCCAUCGGAUGUGCCCAGAUGGGAUUAGCUAGUAGGUGGGGUAACGGCUCACCUAGGCGACGAUCCCUAGCUGGUCUGAGAGGAUGACCAGCCACACUGGAACUGAGACACGGUCCAGACUCCUACGGGAGGCAGCAGUGGGGAAUAUUGCACAAUGGGCGCAAGCCUGAUGCAGCCAUGCCGCGUGUAUGAAGAAGGCCUUCGGGUUGUAAAGUACUUUCAGCGGGGAGGAAGGGAGUAAAGUUAAUACCUUUGCUCAUUGACGUUACCCGCAGAAGAAGCACCGGCUAACUCCGUGCCAGCAGCCGCGGUAAUACGGAGGGUGCAAGCGUUAAUCGGAAUUACUGGGCGUAAAGCGCACGCAGGCGGUUUGUUAAGUCAGAUGUGAAAUCCCCGGGCUCAACCUGGGAACUGCAUCUGAUACUGGCAAGCUUGAGUCUCGUAGAGGGGGGUAGAAUUCCAGGUGUAGCGGUGAAAUGCGUAGAGAUCUGGAGGAAUACCGGUGGCGAAGGCGGCCCCCUGGACAAAGACUGACGCUCAGGUGCGAAAGCGUGGGGAGCAAACAGGAUUAGAUACCCUGGUAGUCCACGCCGUAAACGAUGUCGACUUGGAGGUUGUGCCCUUGAGGCGUGGCUUCCGGAGCUAACGCGUUAAGUCGACCGCCUGGGGAGUACGGCCGCAAGGUUAAAACUCAAAUGAAUUGACGGGGGCCCGCACAAGCGGUGGAGCAUGUGGUUUAAUUCGAUGCAACGCGAAGAACCUUACCUGGUCUUGACAUCCACGGAAGUUUUCAGAGAUGAGAAUGUGCCUUCGGGAACCGUGAGACAGGUGCUGCAUGGCUGUCGUCAGCUCGUGUUGUGAAAUGUUGGGUUAAGUCCCGCAACGAGCGCAACCCUUAUCCUUUGUUGCCAGCGGUCCGGCCGGGAACUCAAAGGAGACUGCCAGUGAUAAACUGGAGGAAGGUGGGGAUGACGUCAAGUCAUCAUGGCCCUUACGACCAGGGCUACACACGUGCUACAAUGGCGCAUACAAAGAGAAGCGACCUCGCGAGAGCAAGCGGACCUCAUAAAGUGCGUCGUAGUCCGGAUUGGAGUCUGCAACUCGACUCCAUGAAGUCGGAAUCGCUAGUAAUCGUGGAUCAGAAUGCCACGGUGAAUACGUUCCCGGGCCUUGUACACACCGCCCGUCACACCAUGGGAGUGGGUUGCAAAAGAAGUAGGUAGCUUAACCUUCGGGAGGGCGCUUACCACUUUGUGAUUCAUGACUGGGGUGAAGUCGUAACAAGGUAACCGUAGGGGAACCUGCGGUUG
rnacentral:rRNA from 1 species